rnacentral:rRNA from 1 species
CAUGGCUGUCGUCAGCUCGUGUUGUGAAAUGUUGGGUUAAGUCCCGCAACGAGCGCAACCCUUAUCCUUUGUUGCCAGCGGUCCGGCCGGGAACUCAAAGGAGACUGCCAGUGAUAAACUGGAGGAAGGUGGGGAUGACGUCAAGUCAUCAUGGCCCUUACGACCAGGGCUACACACGUGCUACAAUGGCGCAUACAAAGAGAAGCGACCUCGCGAGAGCAAGCGGACCUCAUAAAGUGCGUCGUAGUCCGGAUUGGAGUCUGCAACUCGACUCCAUGAAGUCGGAAUCGCUAGUAAUCGUGGAUCAGAAUGCCACGGUGAAUACGUUCCCGGGCCUUGUACACACCGCCCGUCACACCAUGGGAGUGGGUUGCAAAAGAAGUAGGUAGCUUAACCUUCGGGAGGGCGCUUACCACUUUGUGAUUCAUGACUGGGGUGAAGUCGUAACAAGGUAACCGUAGGGGAACCUGCGGUUGGA